rnacentral:tRNA from 2 species
CGGGGAGUGGCGCAGUUUGGUAGCGCACGCGCAUGGGGUGUGCGGGGUCGCAGGUUCGAAUCCUGUCUCCCCGACCA